rnacentral:rRNA from 1 species
UACGUAGGGGGCAAGCGUUGUCCGGAAUCAUUGGGCGUAAAGCGCGUGUAGGCGGCCUUGUAAGUCCGUUCUGAAAGUCCGGGGCUCAACCCCGGGAGGCGGAUGGAUACUGCAAGGCUCGAGUCCGGAAGAGGCAAGUGGAAUUCCCGGUGUAGCGGUGAAAUGCGCAGAUAUCGGGAGGAACACCAAUGGCGAAGGCAGCUUGCUGG